rnacentral:rRNA from 1 species
CGGCCGCGGUACCCUGACCGUGCAAAGGUAGCAUAAUCACUUGCCCCUUAAAUAGGGACUUGUAUCAACGGCAUCACGAGGGUUAUACUGUCUCCCCCCUCUAAUCAGUGAAACUGACCUCCCCGUGAAGAGGCGGGGAUACAAUUACAAGACGAGAAGACCCCAUGGAGCUUUAAACCCAAUAACAACCUUCACUUAAAUACUCCCACACAAAUAUAAAGCAAUGUAUAUUGGUUUUAGGUUGGGGUGACCACGGAGCAAAACUAAACCUCCAUGACGAAUGGAAAUUCAUCCUAAUCCACGAGCUGCCACUCUAAGAAUCAAAAUUUGACGUAAUAUGAUCCGGCAACCGAUCAACGAACCAAGUUACCCUGGGGAUAACAGCGCAAUCCAUUUCAAGAGCCCCUAUCGACAAAUGGGUUUACGACCUCGAUGUUGGAUCAGGGUAUCCCAGUGGUGCAGCCGCUACUAAAGGUUUGUUUGUUCAACAAUUAAAACCCUACGUG